CCUACGGGUGGCAGCAGUGGGGAAUAUUGCACAAUGGGGGGAACCCUGAUGCAGCGACGCCGCGUGAGUGAAGAAGUAUCUCGGUACGUAAAGCUCUAUCAGCAGGGAAGAAAAUGACGGUACCUGACUAAGAAGCCCCGGCUAACUACGUGCCAGCAGCCGCGGUAAUACGUAGGGGGCAAGCGUUAUCCGGAUUUACUGGGUGUAAAGGGAGCGUAGACGGCACUGCAAGUCCGGAGUGAAAGCCCAAGGCUGAACCAUGGGACUGCUCUGGAAACUGUGGAGCUUGAGUGCGGGAGGGGCGAGCGGAACUCCUAGCGUAGGGGUGAAAUGCGUAGAGACUAGGAGGAACACCGGGGGCGAAGGCGGCCUGCUGGACCGUAACUGACGUUGAGGCUCGAAAGCGUGGGGAGCAAACAGGAUUAGAUACCCGGGUAGUC
rnacentral:rRNA from 1 species